UGGGGAAUAUUGGACAAUGGGGGCAACCCUGAUCCAGCCAUGCCGCGUGUGUGAAGAAGGCCUUUUGGUUGUAAAGCACUUUAAGCAGUGAAGAAGACUCUAUGGUUAAUACCCAUAGGCGAUGACAUUAGCUGCAGAAUAAGCACCGGCUAACUCUGUGCCAGCAGCCGCGGUAAUACAGAGGGUGCAAGCGUUAAUCGGAAUUACUGGGCGUAAAGCGAACGUAGGUGGCUUAAUAAGUCAGAUGUGAAAUCCCCGGGCUUGACCUGGGAACUGCAUCUGAUACUGUUGGGCUAGAGUAGGUGAGAGGGAGGUAGAAUUUCAGGUGUAGCGGUGAAAUGCGUAGAGAUCUGAAGGAAUACCGAUGGCGAAGGCAGCCUCCUGGCAUCAUACUGACACUGAGGUUCGAAAGCGUGGGUAGCAAACA
rnacentral:rRNA from 1 species